AAUCUAGGCAAAAAUUCCCAGAAGAUACCUUAAGAAAUUCGAUACUGAAAAAAAGCUAAUUUUGUGUUUUAAAAAAUCAGACUGAUUGCUUGGAACAAAUGGAAUAAAUCGUCUUGUCAAUAAAGUGAUGGUCAAUUGAGUCAUUUGUGUGCAAAAUAUUGUGCAAGGCCCGGGUACAGAACAAGGAAUAAUAAGACACGCCCUGAAGGAGUACAUCGUCUAGUGAGGGACAGACCAAGCACGCAAAACAAAUUGCAAUAUAAUGUGAUAAGUUCUUUAAAAGAGGUAAGAGCAACGUGCUUUGGGAGCAGAGAAGAGGGAGAAAGCAGCAUCUUGCCUGGAUGAGCCAGGGGACACAGAAGAGAAGCCCACUAUCUCAUUUAAUCUUUACAACUCUCUUGCAAGGUCGGUAUUCUACAUGGCAAGUAGCUUUGAUUGUCAGGGUUCAGGUGAGGACUGGGAAUGGAGUGACAAUGAAAAGGAAUGUGGCUAGAGCUAUUAAUUCAUACCAAUUUAUGAGUGGUCUGACAUACAGCACAGGGACUGUGGACAGUAUUGAUAAGCCAUA
rnacentral:lncRNA from 10 species